rnacentral:lncRNA from 1 species
GUGGGUACUAGAAACUUUAAAUUUCUGUAUGCAGCCUGCGUUACACUUCUCCUGGACAGUGCUGUCACCGAACGAGGAUCUCAGAGAUUGUCUAUUGUGACCACCCUGUAGAAACUGGAUGGACCUCAACCCAAAAUUUGGCUCAGAUGUCGAGACUGAUUAUGUCACAUAUCAAGAGGAGAUGAAAAGCUGACACUCGCUGGGACCCUGGAACUCGCUCCAUCUGCUGCCUUCCAGGAAGAACAAAGGAUGGAAGGAGUUGCUGGAGAACCAGAGAAAGAGCGCCUCUUAUAUUAUGGCCAACACAGAGAAUUCCAUAAAGAUUUGCAUGUGGAGUCAGCCCACAAUUGUCUGGCGAAUGGGAGAAGAUAGAUAUGAAAAGGUGAGAUCGACAGGCAGCCAACAAAGGAUCGCUCAGCCCAUCCAAUCAAAAGACGUCAAAGCUAGACCAUGAGGAGGUCGAGGGAACUACUCCAAUAAAAGUUCAUGAAGGCCCUUGUCCAGUUUCCAGACUUGAGCCAGUUUUUGGACAGAACCUGUUGACUGAAGGAAAGGCAGAUUCUCCAGGACGAAGGAACUUGCAACACCAUGCAGGUUCUCAAGACAACGAAGGGAGCACACCAUUCCUCGGAUGCUUGCAGACAUCUUUGCCCAGGUGACACCAGCUUGUGGAUGAAUCAGAAAUGGUGACCUGGACCAACACCCUGAGAACCUGAGCAUCCUCCAUGCAGUAGUUCUUAACUUAGCUGCACAUUUAAAAGAAAA